rnacentral:rRNA from 1 species
AUUGAACGCUGGCGGCAUGCCUUACACAUGCAAGUCGAACGGCAGCACGGGAGCAAUCCUGGUGGCGAGUGGCGAACGGGUGAGUAAUAUAUCGGAACGUGCCCAGUCGUGGGGGAUAACGCAGCGAAAGCUGUGCUAAUACCGCAUACGAUCUCUGGAUGAAAGCGGGGGACUCGCAAGAGCCUCGCGCGAUUGGAGCGGCCGAUAUCAGAUUAGCUAGUUGGUGGGGUAAAAGCUCACCAAGGCGACGAUCUGUAGCUGGUCUGAGAGGACGACCAGCCACACUGGAGCUGAGACACGGUCCAGACUCCUACGGGAGGCAGCAGUGGGGAAUUUUGGACAAUGGGCGCAAGCCUGAUCCAGCAAUGCCGCGUGCAGGAUGAAGGCCUUCGGGUUGUAAACUGCUUUUGUACGGAACGAAACGGCUCUUUCUAAUAAAGAGAGCUAAUGACGGUACCGUAAGAAUAAGCACCGGCUAACUACGUG